CCGCGGGAUUAGAGUUUGAUCCUGGCUCAGAAUCAACGCUGGCGGCGCGCUUAACACAUGCAAGUCGCACGAGAAAGUGGAGCAAUCCAUGAGUACAGUGGCGUACGGGUGAGUAACACGUGGAUCAUCUACCUUUUAGUGGGGAAUACCCCUGGGAAACCGGGGACAAUACCGCAUAAGCUCGAAAGAGGAAAGCAGCAAUGCGCUGAAAGAGGAGUCCGCGGCUGAUUAGCUAGUUGGCGGGGUAACGGCCCACCAAGGCGAAGAUCGGUAGCCGGCCUGAGAGGGCACACGGCCACACUGGCACUGAAACACGGGCCAGACUCCUACGGGAGGCAGCAGUGGGGAAUCUUGCACAAUGGAGGCAACUCUGAUGCAGCGACGCCGCGUGAGCGAUGAAGCCCUUCGGGGUGUAAAGCUCUUUCGACGGGAACGAUAAUGACGGUACCCGAAGAAGAAGCUGCGGCUAACUACGUGCCAGCAGCCGCGGUAAUACGUAGGCAGCGAGCGUUGUUCGGAAUUACUGGGCGUAAAGAGUGCGUAGGCGGUGUUCUAAGUCUGUUGUGAAAUCUCCCGGCUUAACUGGGAGGGUGCGGCGGAAACUGGAAUGCUCGAGUAUGGGAGAGGUAAGCGGAAUUCCUGGUGUAGCGGUGAAAUGCGUAGAUAUCAGGAGGAACACCUGUGGUGUAGACAGCUUACUGGACCAUGACUGACGCUGAGGCACGAAAGCGUGGGUAGCAAACAGGAUUAGAUACCCUGGUAGUCCACGCCCUAAACGAUGCAUACUUGGUGUGAGCCAUUCAUUUGGUUCGUGCCGGAGCUAACGCGUUAAGUAUGC
rnacentral:rRNA from 1 species